rnacentral:rRNA from 1 species
AUUGAACGCUGGCGGCAUGCCUUACACAUGCAAGUCGAACGGCAGCGCGGGCAACCUGGCGGCGAGUGGCGAACGGGUGAGUAACAUAUCGGAACAUACCCUAGAGUGGGGGAUAACGUAGCGAAAGUUACGCUAAUACCGCAUACGCACUAAGGUGGAAAGUGGGGGGAUCUUCGGACCUCAUGCUCAUGAGUGGCCGAUAUCUGAUUAGCUAGUUGGUGAGGUAAAGGCUCACCAAGGCGACGAUCAGUAGCUGGUUUGAGAGAACGACCAGCCACACUGGAACUGAGACACGGUCCAGACNCCUACGGAGGCAGCAGUGGGGAAUUUUGGACAAUGGGGGNAACCCUGAUCCAGC